rnacentral:lncRNA from 1 species
ACAAAUUCAAGGGGGAUGUCUUACUUUAUUAAUAAAUCACUUGACUUUAAAUUAAUUAAUGAAUUUUGUGAUAGAGAAGGGAGAAUUAUUAUAAUCAAUAUAGAAAUUCAAGAUAAGAUUUUCACCUCAGUAAACUUGUAUGCACCUAAUGAAGUUCAUGCAAGAAACCAAUUUUAUAAAAAAGUAAGUAAAUUAAUUGAAG